rnacentral:tRNA from 1 species
GCCGAUGUAGCUCAGUGGUAGAGCAGCUCACUCGUAAUGAGCAGGUCAGGGGUUCGAAUCCCCUCGUCGGCU